rnacentral:rRNA from 1 species
CUUUUGUGGGGUGCUCGAGUGGCGAACGGGUGAGUAACACGUGGGUAACCUGCCCUUGACUUUGGGAUAACUUCAGGAAACUGGGGCUAAUACCGGAUAGGAGCUCCUGCUGCAUGGUGGGGGUUGGAAAGUUUCGGCGGUUGGGGAUGGACUCGCGGCUUAUCAGCUUGUUGGUGGGGUAGUGGCUUACCAAGGCUUUGACGGGUAGCCGGCCUGAGAGGGUGACCGGCCACAUUGGGACUGAGAUACGGCCCAG